UUUAUUGGAGAGUUUGAUCCUGGCUCAGGAUGAACGCUGGCGGCGUGCCUAAUACAUGCAAGUCGAGCGAAUGGAUUGAGAGCUUGCUCUCAAGAAGUUAGCGGCGGACGGGUGAGUAACACGUGGGUAACCUGCCCAUAAGACUGGGAUAACUCCGGGAAACCGGGGCUAAUACCGGAUAACAUUUUGAACUGCAUGGUUCGAAAUUGAAAGGCGGCUUCGGCUGUCACUUAUGGAUGGACCCGCGUCGCAUUAGCUAGUUGGUGAGGUAAUGGCUCACCAAGGCAACGAUGCGUAGCCGACCUGAGAGGGUGAUCGGCCACACUGGGACUGAGACACGGCCCAGACUCCUACGGGAGGCAGCAGUAGGGAAUCUUCCGC
rnacentral:rRNA from 1 species